UGAGUAUAAGGAUACGUGGUGAAUACUUCAGUGCUUGACGUAUCAGAUGUCUAUCUCCACGGUCGGCAUCUCCUUCGCCUCGGUUGACUCGGACGUCUGCGGCUCCGUCCUCAUCAUCUCCCUCGGCUCUGAUGUCUCCCUCGUCUCCGGCUCCCCCAGCUCCAUCAGGACCAGUUUUCUCAACACCAUAUGGGUUUCAGCCAGGACCAGCACAGAAACUACAGUAACAACUGACUUCCCUCAGAGCGAUGCUCCAGGCUCCUCCGCCAGGCACCUCGAGGAGGUUUUGGUGAUGCUGUUAAAUGCAAGCCCUGGCUUUGAGGAUCAACCCCUUGUAGUGUGGGCACAGACAAGUCAAUUACCAGACUUGCCCCACCAGAUUGAACUGUGUGGACCAUGUGGUCAUUACCAAGGGAAGCUUGGAGACCACUGAUUCUCCGGAAGGAAUUAGUGCCUGGUGAUUUAGAUGUGGUCCUCAGCUGUGGACAGAAGGCAUGGGAAGCAGAGACUAGGGAAGGUGCCCGAAGAACGGACUAGGUCACGCCUGACCGAUUGCCGGCCGUUCCUCUGGACACAGACCAGGACGAAUAACCAUGGCCACGAGGAGCUUCAGGGUAGAGCGUGGGUCUCCCGUCGCCUCGGACACCUCCCUCGUCUCUGACAUUUCCCACGGUUUACAGUGACUAAACUGGAACUGUUGAUUUUUCUACCCCGAUGGUGUAUGUUCCUGUAAUAGGUUUAUGUAUGAUAAUGUCUAUCUCCCACCUAGCCUGUAAGCCCAGAGUGGGGAAGCAACUGUACUCUCCCCAAGGCUGUGGACAGUGUAAGAGUUGAAUAAGAGAGGAUUGGGCUUGAGAACAA